rnacentral:rRNA from 1 species
AGCAGCCGCGGUAAUUCCAGCUCCAAUAGCGUAUAUUAAAGUUGUUGCAGUUAAAAAGCUCGUAGUUGAAUUUCGGGGUCAGUAGAUUGGUCGUGCCACUGGUAUGCACUGGUCUUACUGGCUCCUCCUUCCUGAUGAACCGUAAUGCCAUUAAUUUGGUGUUGCGGGGAGACUGGACUGUUACUUUGAAAAAUUAGAGUGUUUAAAGCAGGCUAACGCUUGAAUACAUUAGCAUGGAAUAAUGAAAUAGGACGUUCGAUCUUAUUUUGUUGGUUUCUAAGAUUGACGUAAUGAUUAAUAGGGAUAGUUGGGGGCAUUAGUAUUCAAUUAUCAG